CCUACGGGUGGCAGCAGUGAGGAAUAUUGGUCAAUGGACGAGAGUCUGAACCAGCCAAGUAGCGUGAAGGAUGACUGCCCUCUGGGUUGUAAACUUCUUUUAUAAAGGAAUAAAACGAGGCACGUGUGCCUUUUUGCAUGUACUUUAUGAAUAAGGAUCGGCUAACUCCGUGCCAGCAGCCGCGGUAAUACGGAGGAUCCGAGCGUUAUCCGGAUUUAUUGGGUUUAAAGGGAGCGUAGAUGGGUUGUUAAGUCAGUUGUGAAAGUUUGAGGCUCAACCGUAAAAUUGCAAUUGAUACUGGCAGUCGUGAGUACAGUAGAGGUAGGCGGAAUUCGUGGUGUAGCGGUGAAAUGCUUAGAUAUCACGAAGAACCCCGAUUGCGAAGGCAGCUUACUAAACUGUGACUGACAUUGAUGCUCGAAAGUGUGGGUAUCAAACAGGAUUAGAUACCCUUGUAGUC
rnacentral:rRNA from 1 species